rnacentral:rRNA from 1 species
GACGUAGGGCGCGAGCGUUGUCCGGAUUUAUUGGGCGUAAAGGGCUCGUAGGCGGUUUGUCGCGUCGGGAGUGAAAACUCAGGGCUUAACCCUGAGCCUGCUUCCGAUACGGGCAGACUAGAGGUAUGCAGGGGAGAACGGAAUUCCUGGUGUAGCGGUGAAAUGCGCAGAUAUCAGGAGGAACACCGGUGGCGAAGGCGGUUCUCUGGGCAUUACCUGACGCUGAAGAGCGAAAGUGUGGGGAGCGAACAGG